AGCCAUCCUCUUCAGAGCAAAAGUUAGACCUGCAGCCAGAACCCACUGUGACCUUCCUGUUUACCCUCCUGAGCACAGCGGAGCCCACGGAGUCCAAGGAACCUGAAGAGGUCUUAGAGAACCAAGAGUGCCAGUUCCUGGACAAGGAAGACUGGGGCCCCCGGCGGACCUCAAAGGAAAUCAGCCAUUUGCAGAGUGAUUGCAGGAGACUUUGGGAGUCACUGAGCACUAUCCAAGCAGACAACCGAGCCCUGGGGGAAAAGCUGCAAAACCUGCCAACCUUGUCAUAUGAGAGCCUAAGGAAGGAAGCAAAGGCCCUCCAGGAGGAGGUGAAGGCUGUCGCGGAGGGAGCCCAGGCCAUCCAGGAGGAUGCCCAGGCCAUCCAGGGGGUGGCACUGUUCCA